AUGGCAGAUACCAUGUCCUCUUGUAACCCCAAAUUAAUGAAAUCGAUUUGUAACUGGUUUUGGAUUAUUGCUAAGUCCGAAAUGUUCCUGAAACCCACGCAAGCAAGUUGCAUCGUACAAACCUGUCUUCGCAUUUAUAGCGUGUCUCGAGGAAAUCUUCCUCCAGCAGAAUCAAAUCAGAUAACUCAGUUGGUCCUACUAAUCCUCCACAGACUGACUGAGGAGAAAGUGAAGAUAUCUCACAUCUGCACUAACUCUCAAGAAACACUCAUGCAUCUAUGUCGAGCCACCUUAAAAUCGACGAGGAGCGAUGAUGACACCCUUUUAAAUUGCUGUUUUGUGACGGUCGCCGUUUUUUCUGAAGGAAUUGAAUCGAACCAGGCUCCAAAAAACAAACAUUAAAGGUCCUCUUACUGACCUUGAAAAAGAUCAAAUUUGUCCUUUCCAACCAAAAUUUGAGCAAAAAUAGAAAAUGGCACCAUGUAUUUGCUCUCCUUGGAGUCCUCUUACUGAGGUAUGUGUCACUCAUCCUCUUAAAUGAUUUCUUUCAAAGGCACAGAUUGUUUCAUCAAUGCUGGAAUUUAUUUCACAGUUACUAUUUAUUUUCCAUUUUACAAAUCUACUUCAUUAGUGGCAAAAUUGUAUCCUCAUCUAUAUCCUUAGUUCAGUGUGCAAUUAAAUUGAAUUUUUUCAAGAUGCUUUUCCACUCAUGUAAGUACUGAAAUAGCUCUGUCUGUACGAUUAUGGCUGAA
rnacentral:lncRNA from 1 species